rnacentral:rRNA from 1 species
GAUCGCCUACGGGGGGCAGCAGUGGGGAAUAUUGGACAAUGGGGGAAACCCUGAUCCAGCGACGCCGCGUGAGUGAAGAAGUAUUUCGGUACGUAAAGCUCUAUCAGCAGGAAAGAAAAUGACGGUACCUGACUAAGAAGCCCCGGCUAACUACGUGCCAGCAGCCGCGGUAAUACGUAGGGGGCAAGCGUUAUCCGGAUUUAUUGGGUUUAAAGGGUGCGUAGGCGGCCUGCUAAGUCUGGAGUGAAAGGUACCGGCUCAACCGGUACAGGCUCUGGAAACUGGCGGGCUAGAGAGCAGGAGAG